ensembl:lncRNA
UAUCAGAUCUCUCGGCUACCCUGAACUGUUUGGGACUCCAUCUCUAUUUAGUUUAUUCAGAUGCUGACUCUUAUCCCUCAGGAGAGAGAAGGCAGAAGUGCUUGCUCAUUCCCUGGAACUCUCCCAGUGUAAUGGGGGAGGAACGGAGCCACCAGUCAGACCAGGCAGCAUCUCAGAAAGUUGUACAGCCUUCAUCCAUUUUGCCCACCGAUCUAUCCCCAGGACAGUGGCAGGCACACUUCAUUCAAACUUCUUAGUUGUGGCGUGUGGAAUCUAGUUCCAUGAUCAAGAAUCGACCCUGUGCCCCCUGCAGUGGAAGUUCUGAGUCAUAACCACUGGACCAUCAGGAAAUUCCUUCAAUUUAAUUGAAAACACCUUAUCAAACUAUGAUUCUCACUGAUUCAAACCUGAUUACUUUGCAGGUGUAUCCAUCCCCACCUCCUCUCUUGGAACAAGGACACUUUAGGAGAAAUUCAUUCUCAAGGCUUGACUCCUACUUAAACAUCACAGGAUACAUUCUCUGGAAGGAAAGGG